rnacentral:rRNA from 1 species
CACAUGCAGUCGAACGAAGCUUGACGGAUGAUUUCUUCGGAAUGAAACCAGAUAUGACUUAGUGGCGGACGGGUGAGUAACACGUGAGCAACCUGCCUUUCAGAGGGGGAUAACGGCUGGAAACGGUCGCUAAUACCGCAUGAUGUGUUCGGAUGGCAUCAUCUGAACAUCAAAGAUUUAUCGCUGAAAGAUGGGCUCGCGUCUGAUUAGAUAGUUGGUGGGGUAACGGCCUACCAAGUCUACGAUCAGUAGCCGGACUGAGAGGUUGAACGGCCACAUUGGGACUGAGAUACGGCCCAGACUCCUACGGGAGGCAGCAGUGGGGAAUAUUGCACAAUGGGGGAAACCCUGAUGCAGCAACGCCGCGUGAAGGAUGACGGUUUUCGGAUUGUAAACUUCUUUUCUUAGUGACGAAGACAGUGACGGUAGCUAAGGAAUAAGCAUCGGCUAACUACGUGCCAGCAGCCGCGGUAAUACGUAGGAUGCAAGCGUUAUCCGGAUUUACUGGGUGUAAAGGGAGCGCAGGCGGGACUGCAAGUUGGAUGUGAAAUACCGUGGCUUAACCACGGAACUGCAUCCAAAACUGUAGUUCUUGAGUGAAGUAGAGGCAAGCGGAAUUCCGAGUGUAGCGGUGAAAUGCGUAGAUAUUCGGAGGAACACCAGUGGCGAAGGCGGCUUGCUGGGCUUUAACUGACGCUGAGGCUCGAAAGUGUGGGGAGCAAACAGGAUUAGAUACCCUGGUAGUCCACACUGUAAACGAUGAUAGCUAGGUGUGGGGGGUCUGACCCCUUCCGUGCCGGAGUUAACGCAAUAAGCUAUCCACCUGGGGAGUACGACCGCAAGGUUGAAACUCAAAGGAAUUGACGGGGGCCCGCACAAGCAGUGGAUUAUGUGGUUUAAUUCGAAGCAACGCGAAGAACCUUACCAG